AUCCAUCUGACGAAUCCAAAAUAGUACGGAACAUGUGUCCUGGAU
rfam:Schistosoma haematobium scaffold2129_2, whole genome shotgun sequence.